CGCCUGUUAAUCAAAAACAUGGCCUUUUGGUUUGCGUAAAAUAUGAAAGGUUAGACCUGCCCAGUGGUUUUGGCUAAACGGCUGCAGUGAGUAAUUGAACAAAGGUAGCGAAAUCAGUUGUCCUUUAAAUGGGGAAAGGUAUGAAAGGUUUGACGAUAAAAAAGCUGUCUCUUAAAAAUAUUAUGAAGUUUCCGUUUAAGUGAAAAGGCUUAAAUUUUUGAAAAAGACGAGAAGACCCUAUUGAGCUUGAUUAUAUUUUUUUAUUAGGGAGGAUUGAAGUUUUAUUGGGGCAAUAGGAAGCUAAAAAGAACGCUUCUUUUUAGAGUAGGGAUCCUUCAUGGGAGAAAUAAGCAAAAGCUACCAUAGGGAUAACAGCGUUAUCUUUCUUAAGAGUUCUGAUUAAGGGAAAGGUUUGCGACCUCGAUGUUGGAUUAAGAUAUCUUUUUGGUGCAGCAGCUAAAAAAGUAAGACUGUUCGUCUUUUAAAAUUUUACGUGAUCUGAGUUCAGACCG
rnacentral:rRNA from 1 species